CCUGACGGACUUUUUGGUAGAAAUACCUCAGACUGGACCUUGUCUAGCUCGGUCGGGUAUAGCUGAGCAUCAGCAUUCAGUGCACCCAGGCUGAGCUCAAAUGCCUUGCUGACUCAGAUGUGGAGCUGAGACUCACAUUCCUCAAAGCACCAGGAUUCUUCAGAGGUGUGUUGUCAUGCAGAGGAGAAGCUCAGAAAAUCAAGCAUUUGGAGUCCCAGAAAAUUUGAAGGUCAAGCUCCUCCAGAUUGCCCCCACCAGAAAUGCCCACGUUUGGGAGGGAAAAAAAGGGAUCUUAGAAGAGCUGCAUUGAGUUUCUGGGUGAUAAAACUGCUGAACCCUUCCUCAGCCUUCUCCAUUGCUCAUCAAAAGAAACGGAUACGCCAAACGUUUAUAAGCAACUGGAGUAAAGGGUAUUUCCACAUGAAAAGAUGUAAUAGUAGCCAAGGAUGUACUCUUAACCACUUCUUAAAGCUGAAUACCUAUGGAGUCAAUGGGAUAAAGGACUCCUAACAUUAUGCUUUGCCAGUACUAAGAAUAAUUCACCUCUGAUUUCUUUUUAAGAAGCAUCUGCCUUUCUACUUCCUUGUAGAUGUUAUUCAUUGUGAGGAAUUACCCUUAAUUUUAGGUUAUAACUGUGGAUUCAACCACAACAUACAGAAAUUUUACAUGAAGUUCUUCCAUUGUUUGCGGUGUAUUAACUCCAGUUAAUACUGGGGGGGGAGAAGAGAUCAAGACUUAUUUUAGAACUCAUAUCUGAACUUGGGAUCUGCAUUUAGUUGGAUGCGAGUCCUAAUUUUUGAAGGAAUUUAUUUUGAAUCUACUGCUUUUGACUGGAGUUUAAAUACCCUUCAAAAUGUUUAACCAAGGUGAUGUGGUUUCAGUUGCACAAUAAAAAUCAACUCUGAAGAUAGUUCA
rnacentral:lncRNA from 1 species